AAGUUGAAAUUUCCCUUAAACUCAACCUCAUAACGUACCAAAAGUCUGAAUUAUGUCAUUGUACAUACAGUACAUUGGAGAGACUGACAUUUAAGUAAUGUAGUCAGUUUAUUACCUUGUAAAUUAAAAUAGUGGCUGGUGGGGGUCUACUUUGAGAGUGGGUCCACAGAGAUUGAAGUGAGAUGAGUGGAGGCCCCACACACCCCUGUGUCUGAUGUCACCCUGUCCCAAUCCCUCAGACCCUCCACUUUCACCAAUAACCACCAUUGAAUCUUAGCUAGAAUGACAAGGAAUAAUGAUGAGGCAUCCUUUCCUAAUCUAUCCAGAACUCCUUAAUUUCACAGCAGGUUUGUAAAUCCAAAAUAAAAUUAGGUAGUUUCGUUAAAUCCGUCCUUCCCAAGUCUAACCCAUCUCUCGCCACCUCCCAGUUCUCUCCUUUUACCCCACCAAGCUUAUCCCAACCUUACAUCCACUUACUCAUUCUCUCCCAACAUAUACCUUAUGCAUCCACAGCCGCUCCUACACCUGUAUUCACCAUCCAAUUCUUAUACAUAAACACACAACUGUUGACAUGCAUGCAAUAUGUUCCCCUUUGAAAUGUAUUUUCAGUGUCCAUGUAGCCCAUUGUCAUCGGCUACUUCUACUGAUAAGUCAGAGAAGUUAUUUGGAGAAAGUAGGGUAGAUUUAUUUUGGGGGAGAGGGAAAGGAUAUUGUCUCAAUUUACAAUAAACUGGUCUUAAGAGUCACUGUAGCCUAGUGCACUCGUUGCUUUUUCCUACUUCGUCCUUUCCUCAGAGCACUGGGAAGGUUUCUUGUAGCUGGAUUAGGGCUUCAUCGGCACUUGUGAAUUCCAUUUUUGCGUUGUUCCCUUCAAUACCUACAGCAAUGCCGGGAACCGGAACAGAGUCUUGAUCCCCUUUUCCUUCAGUGACUGAUCAGAAUAUAUUCCUUGCGUCCCUCUCAGCCUAGGAGAAGUCAUGGACGACUCAAAUAGGAGGAUUAACUCAUGGAUACCAUUUUUAGAUCUCUGCGUGCAUUUUGAAGGAAGUGUAAGGUAGAGACGCCUGUUAGCAAUUGCGCAAACGCUAGCUGGCAACUUAAAAUUGCACGCAGAGCCAUACAAUUUUUUUUUGAAAAUGGUAUCAAUUAAUCUGACUCUGGGUAAGUAGAAAAAGAGUGAGAUUUUGGCAAUCAAGCCAUCUUUUUAAGCCUAGUCAGUCCUUUCAGGUCUGAACUGUGAAUGGAUAGGGUCUGAUAUUGAACUGAAAUACUUACCAGUGCUGCAAGAAAUGACCAAGUCCACCAUCAUGACUACCAAUCCUGCCUGGAGAACAGUAUUGGAUGGACCACCGCCACACCGUUCACCAAGAAGUAAAGAAUGGAGUCGAGUGAAACACCAGCCUCCCCUGGCUGAGGUGAAACACCAGCCUCCCCUGGCUGAGGUGGAACACCAGCCUCCCCUGGCUGAGGUGGAACACCAGCCUCCCCUGGCUGAGGUGGAACACCAGCCUCCCCUGACUGAGGUGGAACACCAGCCUCCCCUGGCUGAGGUGGAACACCUAGCUGCUAUAGUGGCAAAAUUACAAACUCUUAUGCAGAUCAUUUGUAUAAACCUUACACCUGUCAAUUUCCACUGUCUGUUUCUCUCAUGUAAGAAGAAGCCUGUGUCCCCCCCCUCUUGUUUCUGAGUAACUUACUGUAAUCACCUGGCCAAAGACAAAGGGCUGUCAGAGUGACCAGUUAUUUGGUCCAUCCUGUUGCUUUCCUAUCUUUCAAGGGCACAGCUGUGGAGAUAUGAAGAGAAAAGGCUAGUUUGAGCAGCAGAAACAAUUCCAUCAGCAGAAAGGAGCAACUAAACUGCCAUUAUCACUUGUUUCUAUGCUCCCACUAUGACCUCACACACCUGCUAAACUGCCACAGACAAAAAGAGACCCAACUCUUGUUUGUUGGGCUCUUCACUGUUGCACCUGUCAUGUGAUUGUUAACCAGCUCCAUUUUUGCAAAUCUUAUAAUAAAAUAAGUUGGA
rnacentral:lncRNA from 1 species